GGAUCGUUCCAGUAGGACUGUG
rnacentral:miRNA from 12 species